rnacentral:tRNA from 1 species
AAGAGAAUAAAGAAUAAAAAAUAGCUUCUAACUAAUUUUUCUAGCGGUUUAAGUCCGUUUGUCUCUUA